rnacentral:rRNA from 1 species
UUCCGGUUGAUCCUGCCGGAGGUCAUUGCUAUUGGGGUCCGAUUUAGCCAUGCUAGUUGCGCGACUUAGAUCGCAGCGGAAAGCUCAGUAACACGUGGCCAAACUACCCUGCAGAGGAGCAUAAUCUCGGGAAACUGAGGCUAAUACUCCAUACCGCACUCACGUUGGAAUACCGAGUGCCCAAAACGCUUCGGCGCUGCAGGAUGUGGCUGCGGCCGAUUAGGUAGACGGUGGGGUAACGGCCCACCGUGCCGAUAAUCGGUACGGGUUGUGAGAGCAAGAGCCCGGAGACGGAAUCUGAGACAAGAUUCCGGGCCCUACGGGGCGCAGCAGGCGCGAAACCUUUACACUGCACGACAGUGCGAUAAA